AAGAAGCCUCCUUUCAGAGACGAGUGAUGGCGAGUGGGAGGGCCACCCAGGGCUGGGACCAUGGCAGCCUCCCUAUGCCCAGCCUGUCCAGGGGGAGCUACCACUUUAUCCCAGAGGCUCCAGGAAAGGUCAGCUUCCUAGAAACUGGCUGACCACAGCUCCCUUGCCCUCUGUGCCCCAGUUUUUCUCCCCUCAUUCACCCCAAGACUCACCUCAAGCAGCACCUGUGGCAAAGCCUGGUAGGCUAGAGUUAGGCCCCUCUCCCUGCCGCCCCAGACUUAGGUCCCUGCCUGGGAUCCCCUGGGGCCUGUGCUUGCUUCUCCCCCUCCAGUCCUGCUGUCUAUCACCUCAACCCACAGUGUGCAUACGUGGGUCAGCUCAUCACCACGUUUGCACUUGGCUGUUUAAAUGAUCCCCAAGGAAGGCCAUGACACAGGCCUACCCUGAGGGUGAGCUGUAUUUACAAAGUGUGGCUACAGAGAACUGCCGAGAGUGGACUGUGUUUUCAUGUUGAGAGUCGUGUCACACCUCGUACACUUUCCAGAAUGAUAUAGGAAAUGCAUACAGAAGUGGGAUUUCUGCCCCAGGGGCGUACAGUCCUCCCUACUUACAAUCAAAAUUUUGUCCUAUAGGCCUCCCCGGGAUCUGGGCAUCUGAUCAACCUUAGGGCUGCCAGUCGGUUGGUGGUGCUUUGCAUGGGGCAGGCGUCAGUAGCCCCUGUGGAAACUACCGGAUCAGGACCAGAGCCUCACUGUACUGGCAUCACAUCACAGAGACUGAAGCUAUGAAGAUCAUGGAUGAGGCCAAGAGGCCCAGAGACGGGCAGGAGUCUUCUUGAGAUCACAGGGUGCAUAGCAGGAUGGGAACCGAUUUUCCAAGGCUGCUAUGGGCCCAGCCUGCCCUCCAGGGCCUUACAGCCCUUUCCACUACAGGGCAGGGUCCCUCCUGUGCACAGCUUGGGAGACUCUGUCCUCUCACCAGGGGAGCCCUGUGAUCACCUGGCUGGAGAGACCAAGUCCUGUGUUUCUGGAGUGGAUAGCUGUUUAGAGGUUAGUAAGAUAGUGGCUCAGAGCACAAUUUUGGAGCCAAGCAGAUCUGGACCCAAAUCCUGGACUCCUGGUUCACGGCCCACAUGACCCAGACUGUGGACAGGAACAACCAACAGGAGCGAAAGCCAAGGGCAAGAGUGAAAGCAAGGGCGGCUGCCUUUCUCACCGCUGUUGUUCCACCACUCGAGCCACGCCGCCAGCCCUUCUCACCAUCCUUGAAGGCAGGGCUGUGUGCUGAUGAGUCUACCGAAAGGAGUGGCUUGCAAGCUGAUUGUCCCUUUUGAUGACACACGAGGGGAGGUAGUGGCUGUGGUCCCAGCUGCGCCUCUCUCCCCUCCCUGGUGGUGAGGGCACAGGGGUCCACUGCCGGCCACUUGAGCCAAGGCUUCCUGUGCAGCACGAGCAGCCUCUGCAGACGCUAAGGAGUUGGUGUUUGGCGCCCGGUACAGGAAACUCUGGGCACCACUUCUGGGAACACAAGACAUUUAAGUGA